GUAUGUUUAAUGAAUAGUAAACGAAGCAUAGCUCAGUUAUUAUUGGCUCAAAUCAAAUGACAUUUUGCGUACAGAUAGUACAUGAUGAGACGCAUGAGAAAAUACUUCUAAUUUUGUUGUCAAGGCAACGCAGUCGUUCCCAGGCCCCUUACACUGAUUUUGAAUAACUAGUUGCAUUUAUCUAUGUGUAUGUCAUUUUCGAAUUAUUAUCAUGCAAGUAAACUUUUGGCAUGCAUAGGUAUGGUACACAUACUUCUGACAUUAUUUUAUUCUUAUAAGUACCAUGAAUAAAGCUGUUUUAUAAAAUUGGCGCAAGGGGCCUGGGAACGACAUUGUUACCUUGGCAACAAAAUUGUUUUUCAAUGCGUCUCAUCAUGUACAAUCAGUAUCCAAAAUUUCAUUUGAUUUGGGCACAUAAUAACUGAGCUAUGCUUCAGUUUAGUAUUCAUUAAACAUACUUACCCUACCAAUGACGUCACACGUUGUGCUGAAUCAGCAAUUUAUAUUUUGCACAUUUUUGCGUAUAACUUCGGAACCAGAUGAGAUAGAAUAGAGCAGUAAACGGCCAAUGCUCAACAACAGAUGAUGAGAUGAGAAACCUCAUUAAGCUUCAUUAUCUAUUGUUUGAAUUGCAUUCGACGCGACCGAAAUUCGACGAAUAAAACAGGCCUUAGGUGACCGGGUUGUCAACAAGUGAGGUCCCGGCUGGGCGACGGUUGACCCGUUCCCUCUGUAAUCGCAUUAUUGCUUUUAAUAAUAUUUACCAUAUAGAACCCGCGGUAUCGGUAAAAUUUCCCAACUCGACUCAGGUAAUCGGCCUCUUGUGUUGUCCAGGCAACUACUGCCCGUCGUAGCGUCAUUGUAAACUACCAAUUAUAUAUAUAUAUAACUUUGGAUGACGCGGACCCUGAAUGCGUGGGCAGAACAGUCACUUGCUUAUUGUAUUUAAGUGUAGUUUCUGUAAAUAUUGCUUUCAGUUCAUUUGUAGAUAUAUAUAUUAUAGUUUUGUGUUAAUAAACAUUUCCUUAUCACCGU